rnacentral:rRNA from 1 species
GACGCCCUCUGGCGGCGUGCUUAACACAUGCAAGUCGAACGAUGAUGCCUAGCUUGCUGGGCGGAUUAGUGGCGAACGGGUGAGUAACACGUGAGUAACCUGCCCCUGACUCUGGGAUAAGCGUUGGAAACGACGUCUAAUACUGGAUAUGAUCACCGGCCGCAUGGUCUGGUGGUGGAAAGAUUUUUUGGUUGGGGAUGGACUCGCGGCCUAUCAGCUUGUUGGUGAGGUAAUGGCUCACCAAGGCGACGACGGGUAGCCGGCCUGAGAGGGUGACCGGCCACACUGGGACUGAGACACGGCCCAGACUCCUACGGGAGGCAGCAGUGGGGAAUAUUGCACAAUGGGCGAAAGCCUGAUGCAGCAACGCCGCGUGAGGGAUGACGGCCUUCGGGUUGUAAACCUCUUUUAGUAGGGAAGAAGCGAAAGUGACCGUACCUGCAGAAAAAGCACCGGCUAACUACGUGCCAGCAGCCGCGGUAAUACGUAGGGUGCAAGCGUUGUCCCGAAUUAUUGGGGCGUAAAAAGCUCGUAGGCGGUUUGUCGCGUCUGCUGUGAAUCCCGAGGCUCAACCUCGGGCUUGCAGUGGGUACGGGCAGACUAGAGUGCGGUAGGGGAGAUUGGAAUUCCUGGUGUAGCGGUGGAAUGCGCAGAUAUCAGGAGGAACACCGAUGGCGAAGGCAGAUCUCUGGGCCGUAACUGACGCUGAGGAGCGAAAGCAUGGGGAGCGAACAGGAUUAGAUACCCUGGUAGUCCAUGCCGUAAACGUUGGGCGCUAGAUGUAGGGACCUUUCCACGGUUUCUGUGUCGUAGCUAACGCAUUAAGCGCCCCGCCUGGGGAGUACGGCCGCAAGGCUAAAACUCAAAGGAAUUGACGGGGGCCCGCACAAGCGGCGGAGCAUGCGGAUUAAUUCGAUGCAACGCGAAGAACCUUACCAAGGCUUGACAUACACCGGAAACGGCCAGAGAUGGUCGCCCCCUUGUGGUCGGUGUACAGGUGGUGCAUGGUUGUCGUCAGCUCGUGUCGUGAGAUGUUGGGUUAAGUCCCGCAACGAGCGCAACCCUCGUUCUAUGUUGCCAGCGGGUUAUGCCGGGGACUCAUAGGAGACUGCCGGGGUCAACUCGGAGGAAGGUGGGGAUGACGUCAAAUCAUCAUGCCCCUUAUGUCUUGGGCUUCACGCAUGCUACAAUGGCCGGUACAAAGGGCUGCGAUACCGUAAGGUGGAGCGAAUCCCAAAAAGCCGGUCUCAGUUCGGAUUGAGGUCUGCAACUCGACCUCAUGAAGUCGGAGUCGCUAGUAAUCGCAGAUCAGCAACGCUGCGGUGAAUACGUUCCCGGGCCU